AUGGCGUCGCUGUCAAUGAGCGCGGCCGGGAGAGCUGGGUGGACGCCGCAGCAGAACAAGCUGUUCGAGCAGGCACUGGCAGUGCACGACCGGGACACGCCCGACCGCUGGCACAACGUCGCUCGUGCCGUUGGUGGCGGCAAGUCGGCCGACGAUGUCAAACGCUACUACGAGCUGCUCGUCCACGACAUCGCCCGCAUCGAGGCUGGCAAGGUGGCCUUCCCCGCCUACCGUUCCCCCUGCCCAGGCCCCGGCCACAACGGCUACGAGGCCGACAGGUUGAAGCACUUGAAGAUCUAG
rnacentral:rRNA from 1 species